ensembl:lncRNA
UGUGUCUGUGUGGAUGUCUAUGCAUUUAUACAUACAGUAUGCUGGUGCUGUGCAUCUGUGCUUGUGUUUGCCGGUGUGUUUGUGUGUGUGUUUGUGUCUGUGUGUUUGUAUGUGCCUGUCUCUGUGUUUUGCGUUUGAUUGCACAGCUCCAGUGGUGAGGUCCCUAGCUCUCUCCCUUCACUGUCUGUCUGUCACUGAGAGGGUCACAGCUCCAGUGGUGAGGUCCCUAGCUCUCUCCCUUCACUGUCUGUCUGUCACUGAGAGGGUCACAGCUCCAGUGGUGAGGUCCCUAGCUCUCUCCCUUCCCUGUCUGUCUGUCACUGAGAGGAUCACAGCUCCAGUGGUGAGGUCCCUAGCUCUCUCCCUUCACUGUCUGUCUGUCACUGAGAGGAUCACAGCUCGAUGGUUUAAUGGCCGGAAAUGUUUAAGAGGGAUGAUGGAUGGAAGAAAGAGAAGAGAGAGAGAGAGCUACAAUGUGUUUUCUGGCCUCUCCUCCCUCGUUCACAGCUGUUGUUCUCUGCUGUGACUGGGCGUUGUGGUCUUGUGUGUUCUGGUUUUGGCUCGCUCCCACUGUAACAAUUUUGUAAAUGUCUUAAAUAUCUCUUGACGCCUUCAAAGGGAAUCCAGUUGUGUGUAGUCUCUCUCUCUCGCUCUCUCUCUCUCUCGGUCGCCCCCCC